UACCUAGGCAAAUGCAGAACAAGAAGAAGUGCUCAUAUCUUUUCGUGUUUAUAUGAUAUUUAAGAAACAAAGAAAAUUCUGAACAAGAUGCUGGAUAUCAAAAUACCAGAACUGCAAUUAUGUGUGGAAGGACAUUCUGAAUGCUGAAGGUGAUGAGAUCCAUAUCAAGGAAGUUAGCUUGUACAUGAAGGAAGGAGAGAAGAUAUCCUUCUCGGAGCUUUCUGAAAGGGCAGUUCUACAUCGUGAAGUUACAAACAGGUAAUUUUCCUGUGUUUUUUAUUAGCUUUAUGUGUAAAUGAUGUUCUAAGUACAUUAGGUCUUGUUCAGAACAUUUUUGCUUGUUCAGAUGCCAUUGAGGUUCUAUUGACCAGGUGUGCUUCGACAUCAGUUUCUUGUGGAAAUGACUGAUUCGCUCGUUGCGAUAUCAGAAUUCAAAGGUCAACAGCCAAUUACGAUGGAUAGGGAAACUUCCAUAUAGUACUUUCAACUUGUUUUAUUUUUUCGAGAACUUGCAGGAGGGCUGCAUAUCUUUCCAUUAAGAUUUUUUCAAGAACUUGCAGGAGGGUUGCAUAUCUUUCCAUUAAGAAGAUCUGAAAGCUUCUUACAACUCAGGUCCUGUGGAGAACCAUGCUAGACUGUCUUACACUUAUAUAUCAUACUGAAAAUGCAACAGCCAAAAGCAAACCACAAAAGGGCUAUGCUAUGCUAAAUCUUUCGGAGAACGGCAAGGUUCUUAACAACUGCACUGAUCUAUAGCCUAUUGAGAUUGGUAAUUUUUGUCCGGCCCUGAUAUAACAUUUUCUGUACGUUUGCAACAAUCUAAGUUGCAGCGAUUACUUAUCCUGGUUCUUGUCUCACUUGUGCAGGUUC